rnacentral:rRNA from 1 species
AUGAACCCCUCAUCGACCCUGAGUCCGGAUGGUUUGCCAGUAACCUUUUUCAAAUCAUUCUGGCAAACCAUCAAACCAGAGGUCAUAGCCCUCUUCGACGAAUUAUUUUCGGGGACCAUGGACCUUGGGCGCCUGAACUAUGGGAUCAUCACCCUCAUCCCCAAAGUUCCGGGUGCUUCGGACAUCCGCCAGUUUCGUCCUAUCACUGUGAUUAAUGUGAUUUUCCGGGUUUUGGCUAAAGGCUGCACCAAUAGGGUGGCCCUUCUAGCUGACUCUGUCCCCCAUCCCAACCAAUCCUCCUUCAUCCAAGGACGGUUUAUUUUGGAUGGGGUCUUAGUCUUCCACGAAGUCCUUCAUGAAGUCCGGGCCAAGCACCUUCGUGCGGUCUUCCAGAAGCUCGACUUCCAUAAAGCCUAUGAUACGGUUCACUGGCCCUUCCUUCAGGGAGUCUUGCUCCGCACGGGUUUCGACGACCAUUGGGUGACCCGUGUUAUGUAG